rnacentral:snoRNA from 2 species
ACGACCUUACUUGAACAGGAUCUGUUCUAUAGGCUCGUACCACUGUAUCCUUGAUUUCUAAGGAGACAGGAAACCAAGUCUGGUUGAUGAAGCAUGGCCAUGUGACCAGAGCGUGAUUAACAGCCUAUCGUGGCUCAAGCCUAUCGUGGCUCCUUGAGCUGUGGUUGCAGUAGAUGAUCGUUCUUAGACCUGAUCUCAGGCCUAAGAUGGUCUCAUGGCUGUCUGACAGAUU